rnacentral:rRNA from 1 species
UACAGAGACUGCAAGCGUUAUUCGGAUUCACUGGGCGUAAAGGGUGCGCAGGCGGCCAUGUGUGUCAGGUGUGAAAGCCCGGGGCUUAACCCCGGAAUUGCGCCUGAAACUACAUGGCUAGAGCAUUGGAGAGGGUAGCGGAAUUCACGGUGUAGCAGUGAAAUGCGUAGAUAUCGUGAGGAACACCAGAGGCGAAGGCAGUGUCCUGGGGAGUACCUGACGCUCAGGUGCGAAAGCCAGGGGAGCGAACGGG